CCCCACCACGUGCACUCCUGCUGACACCCCACAGAAAUGCCUGGACUACCCACAGUCCUUCACCAGAUGAGACCAGUGUCCCAGGUCCUGGCUCCUCAUCUCACUCGAGCUUAUGCCAAAGAUGUAAAAUUUGGAGUGGAUGCCCCAAUCCUAAUGUUUCAAGGUGUAGACCUUUUAGCUGAUGCUGCAGCCGUUUCAACGGGGCCAAAGGGAAGAAUGGUUAUUACUGAACAGUGCUGAGGAAGUCCCAAAGUAACAAAAGAUGGUGUGAUUAUUGCAAAGUCAAUUUGAUUUAAACGAUAAAUAUAAAAACAUUGGAGCUAAACUUGUUCAAGAUGUUGCCAAUAACACCAAUGAAGAGGCCGGGUACAUCACCACCACUGCUACUGUUCUGGCAAGCUCUAUCGCCAAGGAGGGCUUUGAAAAGAUCAGCAAAGGUGCUAAUCCAGUGGAAAUCAGGAGAGGUGUGAUGUUGGCUGUUGAUGCUGUAAUUGCUAAACUUAAAAAGCAGUCUAAACCUGUUACAACUCCUAAAGAAAUUGCUCAGGUUGCUACAAUUUCUGAAAAUGGAGAUAAAGAAAUUAGAAACAUCAUUUCUGAUGCAAUGAAAAAGGUUGGAAGAAAGGGUGUCAUCACAGUAAAAGAUGGGAAAACAUAGAUCAAUUAGGAAUUAUUGAAAGCAUGAAGUUUGAUCAAGGCUACAUUUCCCCAUAUUUUAUUAACACAUCAAAAGGUCAAAAAUGUGAAUUCCAAGAUGCCUAUGUUUUGAGUGAAAAGAAAAUUUCUAGUGUCCAGUCUAUUGUUCCUGCUCUUGAAAUUGCCAAUGCUCACCAGAAACCGUUGGUCAUAAUUGCUGCAGAUGUUGAUGGAGAAGCUCUAAGUAUACUGGUUUUGAACAGGCUAAAGGUUGGCCUUCAGGUGGUAGCAGUCAAAGCUCCACGGUUCGGGGACAAUAGGAAGAACCAGCUAAAAGAUAUGGCUAUUGCUACUAGUGGUGCAGUAUUUGGAGACGAGGGGUUGAAUCUGAACCUUGCAGAUGUUCCAAGCUCAUGACUUAGGAAAACUUGGAGAGGUCAUUGUCACCAAAGAUGAUGUCACGCUUUUGAAAGGAAAAGGUGACAAAGCUCAAAUUGAAAAAACCUAUUCAAGAAAUCACUGAGAAGUUAGACAGCACACCUAGUGAAUGUGAAAAGGAAAAACUAAAUGAACGACUAGCAAAGCCAUCAGAUGGAGAACAGGGUUAAGGUUUGUGGGACAAGUGAUGUUAAAGUGAAUGAGAAGAAAGACAGAGUGACAGAUGCCCCCAAUGCUACCAGAGCAGCUAUUAAAGAAGGCAUUGUUCUAGGAGGGGGGUGUGCUCUCAUUGCAACCCAGCCUUGGACUCAAUAAAGCCUGCCAAUGACGAUCAGGAAAUUGGUAUAGAAAUUAUUAAAAGAGCACUGAAAAUUCCUGCAAUGACUAUUGCUAAGUAUGCAGGUGUUGAAGGCUCUUUGAUAGUUGAGAAAAUUCUGCAAAGUUCCUCAGAAGUUGGUUGUGAUGCUAUGCUUGGAGAUUUUGUGAACAUGGUAGAAAAGGGAAUCAUUGAUCUAACAAAGGUUGUAAGAACUGCUUUAAUGGAUGCUGCUGGGGGUGGUCUUUCUGUUAACUACAGCAGAAGCUGUCACAGAAAUUCCUAAAGAAGAGAAGGGGCCUGGAAUGGGCAAAAUGGGUGGAAUGGAAGGUGGUUAGGGAGGUGGCUUGUUCUAA